rnacentral:rRNA from 1 species
AACGAACGCUGGCGGCGUGCCUAACACAUGCAAGUCGAGCGAGAACGGGGGGCAACCCCCUAGUACAGCGGCGCACGGGUGAGUAACACGUAGGUACCUACCUCCGAGCUUGGGAUAACCUGCCGAAAGGUGGGCUAAUACCGGAUAUGACCACGGGAGCUUCGGCUCCUGCGGUGAAAGGUGGCCUCUGCUUGCAAGCUACCACUCAGAGAUGGGCCUGCGCGCCAUUAGCUAGUUGGCGGGGUAACGGCCCACCAAGGCUAUGAUGGCUAGCUGGUCUGAGAGGAUGGCCAGCCACACUGGGACUGACACACGGCCCAGACUCCUACGGAGGCAGCAGUGGGGGAUAUUGCGCAAUGGGCG